GGUGAGAUGGUUACUAAGUGACCUCAGGUUAGCUGAACUCUUUGAAACAGAGGAAGAUUCCAAUGACAGAAGGAAGAGGACAUCUCUAUACUUCUGCCCAUUCAAGCUGUGUUCAGAAUGUUGUCUUCAUCUCAUUUUAUAGUUGUAAAGAGGAAAAGUAGCCUCAGGCUAUACAACUCAAGGUCUCUGCCCCAACCUGGCCUCCACCUGUACCACCAAAUCAGACACCUUUUUUAUAGGUGAUCAUUAUUUUUUUUUGCCAGUCAUAUCUACUUAUCAUUCCCAUCAACAUGCU
rnacentral:lncRNA from 1 species